GACGAACGCUGGCGGCGUGCUUAACACAUGCAAGUCGAACGGAAAGGCCCUGCUUUUGUGGGGUGCUCGAGUGGCGAACGGGUGAGUAACACGUGAGUAACCUGCCCUUGACUUUGGGAUAACUUCAGGAAACUGGGGCUAAUACCGGAUAGGAGCUCCUGCUGCAUGGUGGGGGUUGGAAAGUUUCGGCGGUUGGGGAUGGACUCGCGGCUUAUCAGCUUGUUGGUGGGGUAGUGGCUUACCAAGGCUUUGACGGGUAGCCGGCCUGAGAGGGUGACCGGCCACAUUGGGACUGAGAUACGGCGCAGACUCCUACGGGAGGCAGCAGUGGGGAAUAUUGCACAAUGGGCGGAAGCCUGAUGCAGCAACGCCGCGUGCGGGAUGACGGCCUUCGGGUUGUAAACCGCUUUCGCGUGUGACGAAGCGUGAGUGACGGUAAUGGGUAAAGAGGCACCGGCUAACUACG
rnacentral:rRNA from 1 species